rnacentral:rRNA from 1 species
CAGCCGCCGCGGUAAUACGAAGGGGGCUAGCGUUGCUCGGAAUUACUGGGCGUAAAGGGAGCGUAGGCGGAUCGUUAAGUUGGGGGUGAAAGCCCGGGGCUCAACCUCGGAAUUGCCUUCAAUACUGGCGAUCUUGAGUAUGGAAGAGGUAUGUGGAACUCCGAGUGUAGAGGUGAAAUUCGUAGAUAUUCGGAAGAACACCAGUGGCGAAGGCGACAUACUGGUCCAUUACUGACGCUGAGGCUCGAAAGCGUGGGGAGCAAACAGGAUUAGAUACCCCCGUAGUCCCUGUCUCUUAUAC